rnacentral:rRNA from 1 species
AGGGAUUGCCUCAGUAGCGGCGAGUGAAGCGGCAAAAGCUCAAAUUUGAAAUCUGGCGUCUUUGGCGUCCGAGUUGUAAUUUGAAGAAGGUAUCUUUGGGCCCGGCUCUUGUCUAUGUUCCUUGGAACAGGACGUCACAGAGGGUGAGAAUCCCGUGCGAUGAGAUGACCCGGGUCUGUGUAAAGUUCCUUCGACGAGUCGAGUUGUUUGGGAAUGCAGCUCUAAGUGGGUGGUAAAUUCCAUCUAAAGCUAAAUAUUGGCGAGAGACCGAUAGCGAACAAGUACAGUGAUGGAAAGAUGAAAAGAACUUUGAAAAGAGAGUGAAAAAGUACGUGAAAUUGUUGAAAGGGAAGGGCUUGAGAUCAGACUUGGUAUUUUGCAUGCUGCUCUCUCGGGGGCGGCCGCUGCGGUUUACCGGGCCAGCAUCGGUUUGGAGCGGCAGGAUAAUGGCGGAGGAAUGUGGCACGGCUUCUGCUGUGUGUUAUAGCCUCUGACGAUACUGCCAGCCUAGACCGAGGACUGCGGUUUUUACCUAGGAUGUUGGCAUAAUGAUCUUAAGUCGCCCGUCUUGAAACACGGACCAAGGAGUCUAACGUCUAUGCGAGUGUUUGGGUGUAAAACCCGUACGCGUAAUGAAAGUGAACGAAGGUGGGGGCCCAUUAGGGUGCACCAUCGACCGAUCCUGAUGUGUUCGGAUGGAUUUGAGUAAGAGCAUAGCUGUUGGGACCCGAAAGAUGGUGAACUAUGCCUGAAUAGGGUGAAGCCAGAGGAAACUCUGGUGGAGGCUCGUAGCGGUUCUGACGUGCAAAUCGAUCGUCGAAUUUGGGUAUAGG